rnacentral:rRNA from 1 species
CACAGUACAUGUGGUUUACCUUCGGGGACCGUGAACACACGGUGCUGCNUAGGCUGUCGUCAGCUCGUGUCGUGAGAUGUUGGGUUAAGUCCCGCAACGAGCGCAACCUCGCCCUUAGUUUUGGCCCCAGCAUUUUUACGUUGCGGCACUCUAGAGGGGACUGCCGGUGAUNAGCCGAGAGGAAGGUGGGGAUGACGUCAAGUCCUCAUGGCCCUUACGGGCUGGGCUACACACGUGCUACAAUGGUGGUUGACAGUGGGCAGCGAANUGAGCGAUCCCGAGCGUAAUCUCCUAAAAGCCAUCUCAGUUCGGAUUUGCACUCUGGAACUCGAGUGCAUGAAGUUCGGAAUCGCUAGUAAUCGCGGAUCAGCACUGCCGCGGUGAAUACGUUCCCGGGUCUUNGUACA